rnacentral:rRNA from 1 species
AUUGAACGCUGGCGGCAUGCCUUACACAUGCAAGUCGAACGGCAGCACGGGAGCAAUCCUGGUGGCGAGUGGCGAACGGGUGAGUAAUAUAUCGGAACGUGCCCGGUCGUGGGGAUAACGUAGCGAAAGCUACGCUAAUACCGCAUACGAUCUACGGAUGAAAGCGGGGGAUCGCAAGACCUCGCGCGAUUGGAGCGGCCGAUAUCAGAUUAGGUAGUUGGUGAGGUAAAGGCUCACCAAGCCGACGAUCUGUAGCUGGUCUGAGAGGACGACCAGCCACACUGGGACUGAGACACGGCCCAGACUCCUACGGGAGGCAGCAGUGGGGAAUUUUGGGACAAUGGGCGCAAGCCUGAUCCAGCAAUGCCGCGUGCAGGAUGAAGGCCUUCGGGUUGUAAACUGCUUUGUUACGG